rnacentral:rRNA from 1 species
UACGGGGGGAGCAAGCGUUGUUCGGAUUUACUGGGCGUAAAGGGCGCGUAGGCGGCCACCGCAAGUCGACUGUGAAAUCUCCGGGCUUAACUCGGAAAGGUCAGCCGAUACUGCGGGGCUAGAGUGCAGAAGGGGCAACUGGAAUUCUCGGUGUAGCGGUGAAAUGCGCAGAUAUCGGGAAGAACACCCGUGGCGAAGGCGGCUCUCUGGAACGCAACUGACGCUGAGACGCGAAAGCGUGGGGAGCAAACAGG